UUUAGUUGUCUUAAUUCAAUGUUGAACAUGUUAUUUGAUUGCAAUUGUCGAAUCACAUCUUUGAAAGUAUUGGGGAAAUUUUUGUUUAAUUUUUGUAAGAGAAGAAGAAGUUGAAAGGAUUGAUUCUCGAAAGACUAACAAACUCAAGAGCUUGGAAAGAACACUCGGUCCAUACAACGAACCUUUGAAAUAUGUUUCUUUACUAUAUUUGACUUUUUGUGAUAGGAUAAAACCUCAAAUACAUGCACCGACGAGAAAAUACGUUCACAUACCGAAAAUUCGAUUGCUGAGGAGGGUACGAAUGCUGAAAACAAAUUGCGCACAAAUUCCAACGGUUUUCCAGCAAAGAAGAAAAAGUCGAGGGAUGUAAAUGUGUUUGUGAGGCGAUCUGGGCGUCUCAAAAAUUUAGUUUCAUCUUCCGAAAGACAAGGGGUCAAACCCCUGGUGGAUCAUAUUGACCUUGAUGAAAACGAAAAGGAAGAUGAAAAAGAAGAAGAACAAAAAGAAGAAGAACAAAAAGAAGAAGAAGAACAAGAAGAAGGAGAACAGCAUUUUCAGGAAGAUAGUGAAUCGCCAGUCGUGAAGGAAACUAACUCGGAAGUAGAAACGGAAACGAAAGAAAGAAACAUGGAAGAAAAUGUUGACUAUUUCGUUGAAGCAGCUGAGGAAUUCAAGUCUAAGGUCGCUAUAAAACCUCACGAUGGACAUUCUAGUAAUUUCAGCUACAAAAGCUUGUACAUCGACUCACAGAAGAAGAUUGAGGCAUUGAUGGAGGCAAACUAUGCUCUAGUGAGGAAGUUGGAUUUGGCUCUUG